rnacentral:rRNA from 2 species
GUGGGGAAUAUUGCACAAUGGGCGCAAGCCUGAUGCAGCGACGCCGCGUGGGGGAUGACGGCCUUCGGGUUGUAAACUCCUUUCGCUAGGGACGAAGCUUUUUGUGACGGUACCUAGAUAAGAAGCACCGGCUAACUACGUGCCAGCAGCCGCGGUAAUACGUAGGGUGCGAGCGUUGUCCGGAAUUACUGGGCGUAAAGGGCUCGUAGGUGGUUUGUCGCGUCGUCUGUGAAAUUCCGGGGCUUAACUCCGGGCGUGCAGGCGAUACGGGCAUAACUUGAGUACUGUAGGGGUAACUGGAAUUCCUGGUGUAGCGGUGAAAUGCGCAGAUAUCAGGAGGAACACCGAUGGCGAAGGCAGGUUACUGGGCAGUUACUGACGCUGAGGAGCGAAAGCAUGGGUAGCGAACAGGAUUAGAAACCCCAGUAGUCC